CCUACGGGAGACAGCAGUCGAGAAUCAUUCACAAUGGGGGAAACCCUGAUGGUGCGACGCCGCGUGGGGGAAUGAAGGUCUUCGGAUUGUACACCUCUUUAGGCGGGGAGCAAUUCCGGGCACGUGUGCCCGUCGUGAGAGUACCCGCAAAAUCAGCAUCGGCUAACUCCGUGCCAGCAGCCGCGGUAAUACGGAGGAUGCGAGCGUUCUCCGGAUUUCUUGGGUUUAACGGGUGCGUAGGCGGUUUUUUAAGUCAGCGUGAAAAUGUCCGGGCUCAACCCGGGUCUGCCGUUGAAACUGGGGAUCUUGAGUGGGCGAGAAGUAGGCGGAAUGCGUGGUGUAGCGGUGAAAUGCAUAGAUAUCACGCAGAACUCCGAUUGCGAAGGCAGCAUACCGGCGCCCGACUGACGCUGAGGCACGAAAGCGUGGGGAUCGAACAGGAUUAGAUACCCCAGUAGUC
rnacentral:rRNA from 1 species